ACUUCUAUAACUGGAUAGAGUGUUUGAAGACAACACUGUGUUAUUGUUUUGAUUUUACUUGAUAAGGAGUAAAAAUUUCAAAUUAUUAUAAUUAGCAACUAAACAGAAAUGGGUAGCAAAAUAAGUAAAUCAAUUCACAAACGACGUGAAAAGAGCCGAGAUAAAAAGAAUGUUAAACAGUACACGUAAGAAGAAAAUGACAGAUGCUAUGUAAAACUGCUCAGUCUAUAUUUAGAGAAUAUUGGAGACAAAACCGGGCCAUUCUAUCGCAGAACUCCUGCUCCGGGCAAAAGGGGGAAAAUCCUUUUCUCCGAACAAGUGAUAGGGUUGCAUACGAUACAGAAGCUAAUGAAAACUAUCUGUUCCGAGGCAGGAUUGGAGGUAGCUUCACCGGACUUUCUAGUUACCACAGCAACAACAUUUUUUAAUAAUAAGGUUGAAGAGCAGCUCAUAAUGGAGCGAAAUGGUCACUGGAGUUCUGCAGUGAGAAGCUAUAAAAGAACAAGCUGUCAACUACAAAAAGAAAUAUCCGAUCUGCUUCAACCCCCUAUUAGGAAAAUGAAGAGUCAGAAUAAUACAAAAUGUAAAACCGCGACAAAAUGUGAAACCGCGACAAAAUGUGAAAGUGCAGAAAGGGCGACAAAAUGCGAAAGUGUGGAAAGGGCGACACAAUGUGAAAGAGCGACAAAAUGUGAAAGGGCGAUAAAAUGUGCGACAAAAAGUGCUGAGAAAGGUGAAAAUGAUGACUCUCUUACUAUAACCAUUACAUGUUCAAAAAAGGUUUCUAAUGUUCAAAUAAA